GAGGUAGUUCUACCAGCUGUAGAUAACUAAGGGACAGAGCGUGCAGAAGCAACUCAGCCACUUUCAGAAGAUCCUCACUGACCUCCUCAACAUUGGCAAGAAAGUUAAGGAGAAGAUCAGGGCAAUAGUCUUGCUAGCAUCGCUUUCCUCUUCAUAUGAGUCUUUGGUGACUACUCUUCUAGUGGGGAGAGCACCAUCAAGAUGGAUGAGGUCACCGCAGUGAUUCUCCAGAAUGAGGUUCUCAAGUGGGAGAACC
rnacentral:lncRNA from 1 species